rnacentral:rRNA from 1 species
UACGUAGGGACCAAGCGUUGUUCGGAUUUACUGGGCGUAAAGGGCGCGUAGGCGGCAUGACAAGUCACUUGUGAAAUCUCCGGGCUUAACUCGGAACGGUCAACUGAUACUGUGCGACUAGAGUGCAGAAGGGGCAACUGGAAUUCUCGGUGUAGCGGUGAAAUGCGUAGAUAUCGAGAGGAACACCUGCGGCGAAGGCGGGUUGCUGGGCUGACACUGACGCUGAUGCGCGAAAGCCAGGGGAGCGAACGGG